rnacentral:rRNA from 1 species
GAUGAACGCUGACAGAAUGCUUAACACAUGCAAGUCUUUGGCGAAGCUGUGCUUGCACCGCCUAGCCAAGGCGGACGGGUGAGUAACGCGUAAGGAACUUGCCCUGCAGUCAGGGAUAACAGACGGAAACGACUGAUAAGACCUGGUAAAGUCAGGCGGACUCAUGUCCAGCCUGAUGAAAAGAGAUGCUGCAGGAGAGCCUUGCGUCCUAUUAGCUUGUUGGUGGGGUAACGGCCCACCAAGGCGAUGAUAGGUAGCCGGCCUGAGAGGGUGGACGGCCACAAGGGGACUGAGAUACGGCCCUUACUCCUACGGGAGGCAGCAGUGGGGAAUAUUGGACAAUGGGGGCAACCCUGAUCCAGCAAUUCUGUGUACACGAUGAAGGUUUUCGGAUUGUAAAGUGCUUUCAGCAGGGAAGAAAAAAAUGACGGUACCUGCAGAAGAAGCGACGGCUAAAUACGUG